GGGAUUGUGGCUCAGCGGUAGGGCAUCUAUUUGUCAUGCAGAAGGUCCCAGGUUCAAUCUUUACUAUCUCCA
rnacentral:tRNA from 1 species